rnacentral:rRNA from 1 species
UGGGGAAUAUUGGACAAUGGGCGAAAGCCUGAUCCAGCCAUGCCGCGUGUGUGAAGAAGGUCUUCGGAUUGUAAAGCACUUUAAGUUGGGAGGAAGGGCAUUAACCUAAUACGUUAGUGUUUUGACGUUACCGACAGAAUAAGCACCGGCUAACUCUGUGCCAGCAGCCGCGGUAAUACAGAGGGUGCAAGCGUUAAUCGGAAUUACUGGGCGUAAAGCGCGCGUAGGUGGUUUGUUAAGUUGGAUGUGAAAGCCCCGGGCUCAACCUGGGAACUGCAUUCAAAACUGACAAGCUAGAGUAUGGUAGAGGGUGGUGGAAUUUCCUGUGUAGCGGUGAAAUGCGUAGAUAUAGGAAGGAACACCAGUUGCGAAGGCGACCACCUGGACUGAUACUGACACUGAGGUGCGAAAGCGUGGGGAGCAAACA